GGCCCGAUGGUCUAGCGGUAGGACACUCAUCUCUCAAUUAUCAGCCGGUUUUGGAUACAUUCAAACUCGCCUUUGACAACCCUCCGAGUUUGAGGUUGAGUACAGAUGAGAAUCCCCAGUUCGAAUCUGGGUCUGGCCA
rfam:Pseudogymnoascus pannorum VKM F-4246 contig_814, whole genome shotgun sequence.